rnacentral:tRNA from 2 species
GGGCCUAUAGCUCAGUUGGCAGAGCAUCGGACUUUUAAUCCGCGGGUCGUGGGUUCGAGCCCCACUGGGCCCA